AUUGGACGCUGGCGGCAUGCUUUACACAUGCAAGUCGAACGGUAACAGGGUGCUUGCACCGCUGACGAGUGGCGAACGGGUGAGUAAUGCGUCGGAACGUGCCUAGUAGUGGGGGAUAACGCAGCGAAAGUUGUGCUAAUACCGCAUACGUAUUGAGGUAGAAAGUGGGGGACCUUCGGGCCUCACGCUAUUCGAGCGGCCGACGUCUGAUUAGCUAGUAGGUGAGGUAAAGGCUCACCUAGGCGACGAUCAGUAGCGGGUCUGAGAGGAUGAUCCGCCACACUGGGACUGAGACACGGCCCAGACUCCUACGGGAGGCAGCAGUGGGGAAUUUUGGACAAUGGGCGAAAGCCUGAUCCAGCCAUGCCGCGUGUCUGAAGAAGGCCUUCGGGUUGUAAAGGACUUUUGUCAGGGAGGAAAUCCCUAGUGCUAAUAACACUGGGGGAUGACAGUACCUGAAGAAUAAGCACCGGCUAACUACGUGCCAGCCGCCGCAGUAA
rnacentral:rRNA from 1 species